CUUCAACAAAGCACUUCCACUUCAUUGUCCAUCUACCUUAGGUCCACAUUUGUUUGUAGCACUAAAGGCUGUAGACGUAAGCCUCACAGGAAGAGCAAAAGUAUGCCCACCUCAGUCAUCCCUCUGGACCAAUAACCUCCACACUCUCCAUGUGCAGAAGGGAUUCUAGACUGAGACGAGGGUUUGGUGUGUUUGAUGUGGUGUUGCUUUUAUGAGCUAAACCUUUAGGCUCAGUGACAACGUAGAUGUUUUAUUACAGAUUAUGAAAACAUGCAAGCCUGGGAGGCUUCAACACUCUGAAGAGGAGGCCCUGCCCAGAGAGGUCAGAAUGUUUGUGUUUGGGAGAAAUGAUUGGAAGGUGCUGGCAUCAAAAGAGCAUGUGCUAGAUGUUAUAAUCAAGCUCAAUAAAUGUAUCUUUCUUUUCUUCUCACCCAGAUCCCUGCUGUCCCUACUGCUGGACAGAAUAUCUACACUGGAUUGAAGAGACACAGGGAUAAGGAUCUCUUCUUCUGGAAUGCAGCCAUUAGGGUAUGGCACCCACCCCAGAGAAAAGGCAGAAGAUACAGGGACCUGGAAUUAACAACUAUCAAGGUCUUGUCUGGAGAUGUAAUAGAGACAGAGGACAAAUACAGUCAGUUCUUGGGCAGUCUCCGUGGAGCUCUUCCUUCAGAGAUGGGUUUCCUGUUCUCACAGCUGUGAAGAAUUAGGAGAAACUGCUUCCAUCACUCAGUUCUCCAGGUGAGAACCCAUCCAGCUCUUCUGGAGAAGUUGUCAGACUCAGUGCUUGGGUCCAGAUGCUCAGACUGUCAUUUACUCUUGCUGGGGUCUGGAGCAAAGAUGAAAGCAGCAAGAAUCUGGAGGAAGGAGAUAUAGGAAGAGCUACCCAAGGGAGACCUUGCUGCCUGUCCUUGGGGAGGCUUGGCUCCUUAUCCCGUGACCCCACCCUCUCUACUUUAUUCCACUCCUACAUUCCCAGGGACUUACUUCUCAGCUGAAAUGGUCUCCCUUGGAAAUGCUAGUCCUGGAAACAGGAUGUUAAUGAGUCCUCUUGGGCAUGUUUCCUGGCCUGGUAUCCCUGCUCUGAUCUCUCACUAAAUGAGCUCAGACACUCCAGGAUUCUAUGCUACCCUAAGGAGGCACUGAUGGCCCAUUUCUAAAUUGCUGACUGCAUAGACCAAGAAGCAAGGCUUCUUUUCAUGGUCAUUGCUCUGCACCCAGAUCUUAAGGUGGGUUUUGUGUCAAUGUAGGAUACUCCUUCUAGAUCUUUUCCACCCACCACCCCCACCACCCCUUUGUGAUCCUCCCUACCUGGACAUUAUUUCCAGUCCUUAAGAUGUGUCCUAUGGAGCCUAUAGUUAUGGAAUCUUCCCUUCAUUAACCUUGGCUUUCUAUUCGGCCUGUGCAUGGCAUGUGAGUCUUGGUGUUACUGUUGUCUGCCUCAGUGAUACUUCAAAAGAGAGUGAAUCAGGUUGUAAGCAUUGAGCCAAAAAAGAAAAAAGAAAAAUAAAUACACACAGUAUUGAAACUGCA
rnacentral:lncRNA from 1 species